rnacentral:lncRNA from 1 species
GGAGCUCCGAAUUUCGUGGAAAAAGUUCCGGUUUUUGUUCAUCAGCAUCUUCCACCACGUGCUGCUGGAAUUGUAAGAGUCAGGGGCCGUUUCUGAUUUGUCAAUCUUGUGGGAGCAUUCAACCUGUCGAUCAUUCAGUUGAUUACUUCAACAUUUUUGGGCUGUAAGCGUUUAAAAUGCCCUAAUACGCGUUUCUCUGAUCAAAAUUUUGAUAAACAAACUUGGAAUUUAUUUGAAUUGUUUAUAUAUGAUUCCUGAGUAAUCACCUGUUCGAAGUUCAUCGGAUUUUCGCAAUUUUCUUAGGGUUUUAGACUCCAUUAAUUAAUAUCUUCAUAUGACAGAGAUCGGAAGUUCGACAUUGAAGUUGGAAGCUUGGAAGGGAAG